GACGAACGCUGGCGGCGUGCUUAACACAUGCAAGUCGAGCGAUGAAGUUUCUUCGGAAAUGGAUUAGCGGCGAACGGGUGAGGAACACGUGAAGAAUCUGCCCUCCACUUUGGGAUAACACCGGGAAACCGGUGCUAAUACCGAAUAUUGAAACAUAAGUGGCAUCACUGAGUUUUUAAAGAAUUUCGGUGGAGGAUGACUUCGCGGCCUAUCAGCUAGUUGGUGAGGUAAUGGCUCACCAAGGCAACGACGGGUAGCCGGCCUGAGAGGGCGACCGGCCACACUGGGACUGAGACACGGCCCAGACUCCUACGGGAGGCAGCAGUGGGGAAUAUUGGGCAAUGGAAGGAAACUCUGACCCAGCGACGCCGCGUGCGGGAUGAAGGCCUUCGGGUUGUAAACCGCUUUCAGUAGGGAAGAAGCGAAAGUGACGGUACCUACAAAAGAAGCACCGGCUAACUAUGUGCCAGCAGCCGCGGUAAUACAUAGGGUGCAAGCGUUGUCCGGAAUUAUUGGGCGUAAAGAGCUCGUAGGUCGUUUGCCACGUCGGAUGUGAAAACCUGAGGCUCAACCUCAGGCCUGCAUUCGAUACGAGCAAACUAGAGUUUGGUAGGGGAGACUGGAAUUCCUGGUGUAGCGGUGGAAUGCGCAGAUAUCAGGAGGAACACCAACGGCGAAGGCAGGUCUCUGGGCCAAUACUGACACUGAGGAGCGAAAGUCUGGGGAGCGAACAGGAUUAGAUACCCUGGUAGUCCAGACCGUAAACGGUGGGCACUAGUUGUGGGAACCUUCCACGGUUUCUGCGACGCAGCUAACGCAUUAAGUGCCCCGCCUGGGGAGUACGAUCGCAAGAUUAAAACUCAAAGGAAUUGACGGGGCCCCGCACAAGCAGCGGAGCAUGCGGCUCAAUUCGACGCAACGCGGAGAACCUUACCAAGGCUUGACAUAUAGGGAAAAGUGGCAGAGAUGCCAUGUCCGCAAGGGCCCUAUACAGGUGGUGCAUGGUUGUCGUCAGCUCGUGUCGUGAGAUGUUGGGUUAAG
rnacentral:rRNA from 1 species